GGUUUUGUAGUCAAGUAUGACAUUAGACUGCAAUUCUAAAGGAGUAGAAUUUACCAAAACUU
rnacentral:tRNA from 1 species